rnacentral:rRNA from 1 species
UACAGGGGGUGCAAACGUUGCUCGGAAUCAUUGGGCGUAAAGCGCACGUAGGCGGUUCGUUAUGUCGGAUGUGAAAGCCCUUGGCUUAACCGAGGAAGUGCAUCCGAAACUGGCGAGCUAGAGUACGAAAGAGGAUCGCGGAAUUCCCGGCGUAGAGGUGAAAUUCGUAGAUAUCGGGAGGAACACCGGUGGCGAAGGCGGCGAUCUGGGUCGAUACUGACGCUGAGGUACGAAAGCGUGGGGAGCAAACAGG